CAAGUCGAGCGCGAAAGUUCUUCGGAACGAGUAGAGCGGCGGACGGGUGAGUAACGCGUGGGAAAUUGCCCAGUAGUGGGGGACAACAUUCGGAAACGGAUGCUAAUACCGCAUACGCCCUACGGGGGAAAGCAGGGGAUCUUCGGACCUUGCGCUAUUGGAUAUGCCCGCGUCGGAUUAGCUAGUUGGUGAGGUAAUGGCUCACCAAGGCAACGAUCCGUAGCUGGUCUGAGAGGAUGAUCAGCCACACUGGGACUGAGACACGGCCCAGACUCCUACGGGAGGCAGCAGUGGGGAAUAUUGGACAAUGGGCGGAAGCCUGAUCCAGCCAUGCCGCGUGUGUGAAGAAGGCCCUAGGGUUGUAAAGCACUUUCAGUAGGGAGGAAGGCCUUAAAGUUAAUACCUUUGAGGAUUGACGUUACCUACAGAAGAAGCACCGGCUAACUCCGUGCCAG
rnacentral:rRNA from 1 species